AAGGCCGAGAGCUGAUGACGAGUUGCCUUUAGGCGACGAAGUGGUUGAUACCAUGCUUCCAAGAAAAGCUCCUAAGCUUCAGAUAACUGGGAACCGUACCCCAAACCGACACAGGUGGUUAGGUAGAGAAUACCAAGGCGCUUGAGAGAACUCGGGUGAAGGAACUAGGCAAAAUGGCACCGUAACUUCGGGAGAAGGUGCGCCGGCGAGGGUGAAGGACUUGCUCCGUAAGCUCAUGCCGGUCGAAGAUACCAGGCCGCUGCGACUGUUUAUUAAAAACACAGCACUCUGCAAACACGAAAGUGGACGUAUAGGGUGUGACGCCUGCCCGGUGCCGGAAGGUUAAUUGAUGGGGUUAGCGCAAGCGAAGCUCUUGAUCGAAGCCCCGGUAAACGGCGGCCGUAACUAUAACGGUCCUAAGGUAGCGAAAUUCCUUGUCGGGUAAGUUCCGACCUGCACGAAUGGCGUAACGAUGGCGGCGCUGUCUCCACCCGAGACUCAGUGAAAUUGAAAUCGCUGUGAAGAUGCAGUGUAUCCGCGGCUAGACGGAAAGACCCCGUGAACCUUUACUAUAGCUUUGCACUGGACUUUGAAUUUGCUUGUGUAGGAUAGGUGGGAGGCUUUGAAGUGGGGACGCCAGUUCUCAUGGAGCCAUCCUUGAAAUACCACCCUGGCAACUUUGAGGUUCUAACUCAGGUCCGUCAUCCGGAUCGAGGACAGUGUAUGGUGGGUAGUUUGACUGGGGCGGUCUCCUCCCAAAGAGUAACGGAGGAGUACGAAGGUGCGCUCAGACCGGUCGGAAAUCGGUCGUAGAGUAUAAAGGCAAAAGCGCGCUUGACUGCGAGACAAACACGUCGAGCAGGUACGAAAGUAGGUCUUAGUGAUCCGGUGGUUCUGUAUGGAAGGGCCAUCGCUCAACGGAUAAAAGGUACUCCGGGGAUAACAGGCUGAUACCGCCCAAGAGUUCAUAUCGACGGCGGUGUUUGGCACCUCGAUGUCGGCUCAUCACAUCCUGGGGCUGAAGCCGGUCCCAAGGGUAUGGCUGUUCGCCAUUUAAAGUGGUACGCGAGCUGGGUUUAGAACGUCGUGAGACAGUUCGGUCCCUAUCUGCCGUGGACGUUUGAGAUUUGAGAGGGGCUGCUCCUAGUACGAGAGGACCGGAGUGGACGAACCUCUGGUGUUCCGGUUGUCACGCCAGUGGCAUUGCCGGGUAGCUAUGUUCGGAAGAGAUAACCGCUGAAAGCAUCUAAGCGGGAAACUUGCCUCAAGAUGAGAUCUCACUGGGAUCUUGAAUCCCCUAAAGGGCCGUCGAAGACUACGACGUUGAUAGGUUGGGUGUGUAAGCGCUGUGAGGCGUUGAGCUAACCAAUACUAAUUGCCCGUGAGGCUUGACCAUAUAACACCCAAGCAAUU
rnacentral:rRNA from 1 species